ACCUGGCGUGGCAGGGAAGACAUAGGGUACAUUGGUACUGUUGUUGGGAAAUCAGCCUAUGGGAGGCCGGGGAGGGUGCUGUGUCCCAUAAAAGGUGAAGCGAGUGACCCAUAAGUAUCCUUGGAUUAUGACCUAAAUGAUGCAUAGAAAUUAGGUGAGAGAGGAGAGAAUGCUCCAGAUAAAGGGAGAAGCAUAUGCAAAAGGCAGGAAGCAGGUGAGAACACAGCGUGUGUUUGGAAACAUAAAGUAGUAGUAGGCCUGAGUGAAUGGCAGAGAAAGAAACACUGGAGAACAGGGCUUGGGACUGGGGUGAGGAAGGCACCCUUUGUAGUACACCCAGUACCCAUGUCUUCUGAAGAGCCUAUUGACACUCCCCUCCUCAGGUCCCUGAGGACUUCAUCUCCCGGGAGCUGUUUGACACUGUCCAAGUGUACAUCAUCACCAAGCCAGAGCUGCAAAACAAACUCAUCACUGUGUGAGGCCCUAGCUGGGGGUGGAGGGGAUUCCCAAGAGGAGGGGAAAGGCUUGGGGUCAGGCCUGACUCUUUUCCACCCAUCCAGCACAGCCAUGGAAAAGAAGCUGAUUGGCUGCCCCGUGUGCAUUGAACAUAAGAAGUACAGCCGCAAUGCCCUCCUUUUCAAUCUGGGCUUCGUGUGUGAUGCCCAGGCCAAGACCUGUGCCCUGGAGCCCAUCGUUAAAAAGCUGGCUGGCUACCUGACCACACUGGAGCUAGAGAGUAGCUUCGUGUCCACGGAGGAGAGCAAGCAGAAGUUGGUGCCCAUCAUGACCAUCUUGCUGGAGGAGCUAAAUGCCUCAGGCCGGUGCACUCUCCCCAUUGAUGAGUCCAACACCAUCCACUUGAAGGUGAUUGAGCAGCGUCCAGACCCUCCUGUGGCCCAGGAGUAUGAUGUACCUGUUUUUACAAAGGACAAGGAGGACUUCUUCAACUCACAGUGGGACCUCACUACACAACAGAUCCUGCCCUACAUCGAUGGUUUCCGUCAUGUCCAGAAGAUCUCAGCUGAGGCAGAUGUGGAGCUCAACCUGGUGCGCAUUGCUGUCCAGAACCUGCUGUACUAUGGCGUUGUAACACUGGUGUCCAUCCUCCAGGUAGUACUCCAAUGUGUACUGCCUGACACCCAAGGUCCAGGACCUGGUAGACGACAAGUCCCUGCAGGAGGCGUGUCUAUCCUAUGUGACCAAGCAAGGGCACAAAAGGGCCAGUCUCCGGGAUGUGUUCCAGCUGUACUGCAGUCUGAGCCCUGGCACUACUGUGCGAGACCUCAUUGGCCGCCACCCCCAGCAACUGCAACACGUUGAUGAACGGAAGUUGAUCCAGUUCGGGCUUAUGAAGAAUCUCAUUCGGCGACUACAGAAGUAUCCUGUGCGGGUGUCUCGGGAGGAGUGGAGCCACCCUGCCCGACUUUACACAGGCUGCCACAGCUAUGAUGAGAUCUGCUGCAAGACAGGCAUGAGCUACCAUGAGCUGGAUGAGCGACUUGAAAACGACCCCAACAUCAUUAUCUGCUGGAAGUGAGACUGGUGCUGGCUGGAUAGGCACACUGUUGUGGCUACUACCUCCUGCUAAGCCCUGCCUGCUACAUGGAGCUAAAAUAGUAGGCUAGUUCAUACUGUCUGCAGGUUGAUCCUACUUCUAUAAAUAAAGUCAUCCAUUUCAACUUA